CCCGAGGUGCGUCCAAUCCCGGACUCACCGAACCUGCAAGUACGUUUGGUUUUUAUCCCAUACACCGAGCCAUACACACAUUUGUAGCUCUUCGCGAUAUAUUCGUCGUCUCGUCGAUGUUUUGUGAACAUUUUCCCGGCCAAAAAAAUCACUGGGCAAGAAAAUACCUCUACGUCUACAUUACCUUUACUGCAUUUUUUCUUUGGUUUUUCUUCAGUCUCAGUAUGUUAGUCACCGAAAAAAGUUCUUUAAAGUUUAGGUUUAUCGGCUAAAUCUUGUCCGCCAUAUUUGUUAUUGUCAUUGCAACGUAAGCAGUUUAGCGGGUGAGUUCGGGCGAAAAGCAGGUGAGCUCGGCAAAAAGCAGGUGAGCUCGACGACAAGCUCACCUGCUCUAAACCAAUCAGAAAGCCGCUUUUAACACAGGUAUGGGAUAAGAAAUUGAAC